rnacentral:rRNA from 1 species
CUUUAUUGGAGAGUUUGAUCCUGGCUCAGGACGAACGCUGGCGGCAUGCCUAAUACAUGCAAGUCGAGCGGACUAUCAGAGAAGCUUGCUUCUCUGAUAGUUAGCGGCGGACGGGUGAGUAACACGUAGGCAACCUGCCCUCAAGUUUGGGACAACUACCGGAAACGGUAGCUAAUACCGAAUAAUUGUUUUCUUCGCCUGAAGGAAACUGGAAAGACGGAGCAAUCUGUCACUUGGGGAUGGGCCUGCGGCGCAUUAGCUAGUUGGUGAGGUAACGGCUCACCAAGGCGAC